UGGCAUAAUAAAGGAGAUCAUGGGGUCAUAUUCAUCUAAUUCUCAUAGAACAGAUAGUUAACCCCAGAGGAGUGAACCUGGGAAUACAUGGCGAAUUAGCUUCCAUUAUUUGCUAAUUUACUUUGUGUUCUCAGGUCACCCCUUUGGGGCACUCUGCUUUCACUUUUUCAUCAUUCAAUCUUACUCUCGAUCUUCCCUCUAUAUUCAUGUAUAGAUGAUGCAGAUUCGUGCAACUCAAGUGUUUGCAGCAGUUUCUUUUCUGUAUACUAUAUGGAUGAUUCAGAGCUGUUUGACAGUUUUUUAUUUUCUCUAAGGAAGCCCAGACGUGAUAUUUCUAGUCAGUUUUUUAAAAUCUUAGUGAAAGAUUAGGGUUAUUAUUAUUGAGAUGGAGGGUUUCUUCAAAAAAAAAAAAAAGAAAAAGAAAAAACAGGGUUAAGUGUAUGAUCUGACUUUCAUGGUGCAAAUCAUCACCGUUCAUUCUUUUUUUAUUUAAUCCAAUGGCUGUUUCUCCUUUGACAACAGCAGAUUCGGAAAAAAUUUAGGAAUGUAGACAGCAUUUUACUUUAUGCCAAUUAUUUUUAAAAAACAAUUAUAAUUUUAAAUAUUCAUUUUAAUAGUAAGGCCCUGAACUUAAUUUGAAUUAAUUAGAGAUUAUAUUUUAAAUGAGUUAUUUUAAUUAAUUUACACAUCAUAAUAGGUUAUCAAUAAUUAUAUUGAUGAGUUAACAUUUAUAUGUAACCAAAUGAAAAUAAAUUAAUCUUUAAACAAUUGUAAUUUUUAUUAAUCUAAUACCUCAUGCUUGUGCAUUUUUUAUUUGUUUUUUAUAUUUUUUUAUACUAAUUAAUUACAUUUCUUUUUUAUUGUUCUAUAUCAUUGUUAUCAAUAUUCUGUAAUCUAUGUUAACAAAUUUUAAUAGUAUUACUAUUACAUCAUCUUAAAACAGUAUGGAUCAAAUUGUUAAAUAAGAUAAAUUUAAAAGGACAAAUCAAUAACUGAAGUGAACUUGAAAGAUUAAUAAUUUCAUUAUCUCUAUUUAAAUUGUUUGUGUGAGGUUUGUGAACAAUUUUCCCUUGCAGUUUCACUCAUUUACAAAAAAGAUAAAUAAAUUCUAUCUAAUUAAUAAAUAUUUAAAAUUAUAAUUUAUUUUAAAAAUAAGAUAAAAAAUUAAUUAUGAUUUUAACUUAGUUAAAACUCAAUCCCUAAUUAACUGAGUCAAAGUUUAAGACUUUAAUAUUAAAAAAUAUUUAAAAUUAUAAUUUUUAAAAAAAAAUAAUUAAGAUUUUUUUACACAAAAAAUAAGAUCUAACACGAGUAAAAAUAUUGACUCUCUUCCCUUUUUUCCCAAUCCCACUUGACUUUGGACAUAAUGGAUUUGGAUUCCAUGCAUGAGAGGCGUCAGAUUAAAUUAAAUCUAUGGUCACAAAUAUUUGUGCCGCUAACAAUCAGUAAAACGGUAGGUGCUUGCGCGGACUUGUAUCUCCUUUUCAAACAAUCAAUCAAACAAAAAUCAUCCUCUUUUCCAACGUACUGAAAAUUGAAUUAAUCGUUUAUCAAGCAAAACAUUAGAUUAAGACUUAAUGAUUUAAUUAAGGAUCAAUUUAAAGUCAAACUGUUCGUCAUUAAAAUAAUAUAAUUGAAUUUAUAUAUAUAAAAAUAUUUAUAUUUGAAUAUAAAAAAUAAAUAUUUAAAUAAAAAUCAUUAGCUCUGCUUAAAUAACUCAACAAAAAUUCAAUAAAUAAAGAAAAAUAUUAUACAUGUGAGUGUAAUCCUAACAAAAUUUAGUAAACUCAAUAAAAUUUUAAUAAAAAUUAAAAUAAUUAAUUAUUUUUUUUAAAUAAAUGGACUAAGUUGACCAGGGUCACUCCCAGAUUAGUCUCGAUUGACACACUACCUGAGAUAGAUUAUAAACUAAAUUGGCCAACUAACUAGUUCAUCGAAUUAUCCGUUGGGUUUUCAUUCAUUGAACAUGUAAAUAAAUAAACAAAAUUAAAUUUCAGACAUUACAGCAAAUGGCAAUCACUUGUUUUUCUCUAUCCCUCAAAGGACAGUGUGACAAAGCAAAACGAUGACAAUUGUCAAUGACUAGAAAAACGGAUGACAAAUGAACAAGCUUGUUGGUGGAAUAGAGAAAUGGGUUUCCGCGCAAUGCGAGGACUAAGGGAUGAAGGAAGAGCAAAAGGUUAAUAUCAUCUUCGCACCCACCGUUUCCAUAAUUGUUGGUGGCACAAAUAUUUUUUUACCAUAGACUUAAUCUUACAUGUCUCACGCUGCCACAUGUUGCCAUCCAUUCCAUGCUCAGGCUUCGUGGACACAUGGGAUCAAAAUCCCUCACUUUUAUGUGAGAAUGAUCGGACUUCGAGUUAGAUCAAAAUUAUGUUAGGUCAGACUUUUGCACAG